rnacentral:lncRNA from 1 species
AGAGAUUGAAGAAAGGGAGGCCGGGAUGGAGGGAUGGCUGGAGAGAGAGAGGGAAGGGAGAGUUAAGCCUUGGACUUGUGACGUUUAUAGUACAAUGGAGAGAUUGAAGAAGGGAUAGAAAGGAAGAGAGGAAAGGUUGGGUAAAGGGAAAGAGAGCUAGAGAAGAAGACAGGAGAGUGAAGGGAAAGACAGAAGUGGGUGAUGUGUAUCUCUACAUUAAAGCCAGGGCACUGUUCAGGUCAUAUGUGACAUACAUUGGCUUUUGCCAUUAGAGCCUCUUAAACAGUAGCUACCUAUAGCUUAUCAGCAGGCUACUGAAGGGCUUUUCUAUUGGUUACUGAGAACGCCAUGGAAAUAGAAGUACUAAUUACGGGGAUCUCAAUUCAAGUCAGUGUGCCAUGAUGGGGCUUUUCUUCCUUCUAGUAUUUUUAUUUCUAUGGAGAAAGCCAUUUCAUAGAGAGCAUAGAUAGAGCCAUUGGCACGCUUAGAUGUAUCUCUGUCUUUGUGUGACCAACCAGGUUCCAACCCUGGUCACAAGACUGUGUUAGCGUUCUGAGCUAAAGCCUCGGCUUUACUUCCGUUACGUACACAGUUUAAUAUAAAAAAGGAGGGAAGAGAUACAUGACAUUUUUUUUAACAAUAUUAGUUUAAUUCUCUUUCUGUUACAAUGCCAUGGGACAAUUAAAACAUUCAAAACAAUGUUGUUUUGUGACUCUGUGUCCCAUUUAAAUAACAAUCAACAUGACAAUUACUCACUUGAAACACCAUCUGAGGGAAUUGCUUCAGUUGGUCCCCCAGGUGGCAUUGCCACAGAACUGUUAAUAACAGCCCUGGAACAGAUUUAACACAUCAACACAACAAGUAUGUCUCGAUGAAAUCAAAUGGGUUUUAGGGGGUUUUGUUUCACAGCGAGGUGGGUCAGUGAAAUAGGGUCUGUGUGUGUGUGUGUGUGUGUGUGUGUGUGUGUGUGUGUGUGUGUGUGUGUGUGUGUGUGUGUGUGUGUGUGUGUGUGUGUGUGUGUGUGUGUGUGUUGAAGUGUUUCGUCUCGGAGCAAGUGACGGGGGUUCAGUGUCUCGCAGGGAUGUCACGCU